CCUACGGGAGGCAGCAGUGGGGAAUAUUGGUCAAUGGGGGAGACCCUGAUCCAGCGACGUCGCGUGAAGGAAGACGUCUUUCGGUAUGUUAACUUCUAUCAGCAGGGAAGAAAUUGACGCUACCUGACUAAGAAGCCCCGGCUACAUACGUAACAGCAGCCGCGGUAAUCCGUAGGGAGCAAGCGUUAUCCGGAUUUACUGGGGGUAAAGGGAGCGUAGGCGGGUUAGCAAGGCAGAAGGGAAAGACCGGGGGUCAACGCCGGGAGUGCCUGUGAAACUGUUGAACUAGAUUGCACGAGAGGGAUGUGGAAUGCGUGGUGUAGCGGUGAAAUGCGUAGAUAUCACGAAGAACACCAAUGGCGAAGGCAGCAUACUGGACUCUAAAUGACGCUGAAGCACGAAAGCGUGGGGAGCAAACAGGAUUAGAUACCCCAGUAGUC
rnacentral:rRNA from 1 species